CUUGGGAUGACCUGGCUGGAAAUCACAAGGGUAACACAUUCGCACAAAGUGGCGACAGAAAUAGAUUCCCCCAGUUCAGCCAUAAUAAACCAAAUUCUGUUUAUAGAGGAGGCUUUGCAUAAUUGUGCUCUCAGUUACCAGCUGGGAACAAACCCUGAGCCCCCAGGGAUGGGCCAGAGCUGUCUUGCUCAACUUUCUCACUUUCAGUUUGUCCCAAUUAGAAGCACUUAUACAGGGAUUAUGCCUGAUUUUCACCUGGGCACUUCAGGGUCUAAUUUCUACCAGGAAUAGCAGCCCUGGCAGGCUACACAUUCUGACCUCUUAAAGCUUGCUUUUAUUUCUUGGGUUUUUUUCCCCUGCAUAACUCUGGGUGCAGGUGUUCAGGAAUCUCCUCCUGACACCUUUAUUUCAAAUCAAACCCUCAGGACUUGCAGACCUUGCCAGGGUUGAUAAAUGCCUGAUCAUUUUGCUGCACUGUGAGCCGGCAGACUUGGGAGCAGAGGAGGAUUCCACAGGACUGGAAAAAUUCACUUUUUCCUUAAGCCCAAGAGAGGCCAAGCCAGGCUCAGUCUGAACGUCCCUGCCUGUGCCCAGAGUGAUUCCAUGUGAACCCAACUGGUUCACUUGCUUUCCAAAGGAACUCCAUCCAUGGGUGGCUGUUUAUACAGGUUUUGUUUGCCUCCCAUGAAGACAGAUGUUCCAGCUUCCAUUGCCACCUCAGUGGCAAUGACAUGAGCUUCCCUGGUGAAUAAAAAACAAACUGGAAAAUGUUUAACUUGGGUUCCCAUUUCAGAAUAACUGCAGUGGGAUGAGUCAGGCAGUGCAGCCACAGGAUAAUGAAGGAGAAUGUGUAUUUUAAUGAGCCCAUUUCAGAGCAGAUGCACUAACAGCUUUCACAGCAUCUCAUAGCUGAGGGUGGAGGGCUGCUUGGGGUUCAUCUGUUCCUGUGGUGGCCAGGUGGCACCAGAGAUGCUCUGCACUGAGCCCUGGCUUUCACCCCUGGGCCAGCAGUGCUGCCUGUGCUGUUGGGGCAGAGAGGGACCUGCAACCCCUGCCCAGGGGCAUCUUCCCUCUGCAUCCAGCUCAGGGAUGCUCACAGACACCUCUGGCUGCUGCCUUUGCAUGGGUAUGGACACUUCUAGCUGAAGCUGCUCUGCUCGUGGGUCCCUUCUGCAAGUAUGGAAACCCCCAUUCUAUAAAAGGAACGUUUCUGACCCUCGUGUGGCAUUCCUGCCUCCCAAAGACCUUGGGGCUGGUUGAACUGGGCUCCCAACCUUUAUUUGCUUGGGUGCAUGUGGAGCUUGGGUAUAGCUGCAGCUGUGGGCUGCACUGGCACUGCUGGCAGGAGGGCUGGGCUCUCCCUCCUGCCCUGGCUGGGCACAGGCACCCAGCAGCUCCCAGAGCUGCCCCUGCACACAGCCCCCUGCACCUCACCUGCUCUCAUGGGGUACCUGUGGCCAGCACAAAGCCCCUGGGACUGGGAGACACCCCUCAGGCUAAGAAAAGGGUAAGGAAAUGGGGACUGGUCUCCCACAGUUCAGUGGUCUUUAAUGCAUUUACUUGUAAUUAGUGGGAGGAUGAGUUUUCAUAGGGAUAGAGAUGAAGGAACAACCAGUGCUCUGAGACCACAAAGGAGAAAACUGACAUUUUCCUGCAUUGGGACACCACAGAGAUGAAGUAAAGCUGCAGUGUUGAAGUAAAGCUGCAUGUCUCUGAAACCAAGGUGCUUUUCACAUAAACUGUUGGGAUUCAGCUCCACCAUCCUCUUAGAUUUCAUAAUUCACAUUCAAACAAAUGCUGCCCAAGACAUGGACUGCUGGUGAGCCAAGUAAAGGUUGCAGUGUAAUCAGCUGCUGUUACUGCAUGGCAUAAUGAGAUCCUGAUGUCUCACUACACUCAGCUGAUCACUACAGGUGCUCCUAGAGCCUGCACUACUGUCAUUGCUGUGGUCACUGUCAGCAGCACCACCACAUCACCCAGUGGCUUGGACUUGCUCCCUCCAUGCCAUGUAAGUCUCAGGCUUAUCCUUGGGACUGAAAGGAUUGCACCUGCACAUGCUGAUCCUUUUUCACUCACAAGCUCUCAGGUUUGAGAGUGGGACAGCACCCAUGGGUGAAGUGCAGCUGGAAUUAAUGGUACACGCCAAAGGAUGAAGGAUGGAUGACAAAUCACCAGGUAUCUGAGGGCUUUUUUUCCUCAAUGACUCCUGACUGAAUAAAGCCUUACUG